rnacentral:rRNA from 1 species
CAUCUCUUUAGGAUGAUGAUUUAAAGUAUAAUCUGCCCACUGAUGUAUUAAAUGGCCGCGGUAAUUUGACUGUGCAAAGGUAGCAUAAUAAUUAGUUUUUUAAAUGGAAGCUGGAAUGAAGGAUUGGACAAGAAAAUUUCUGUCUUUUAUAUAAGAAUUUUGAAAUUUAUUUUUUAGUGAAAAAGCUAAAAUGAAUAAAUAAGACGAGAAGACCCUAAAGAAUUUAAUUUUAGGAUUGAAUUUUAGGAUUAAAAAUUUAUAAAAAUUUAAUUGGGGUGGUUUCAAAAUUUAUUUAACUUUUGAUUUUUUAUGCAUAAGUAAUUGUAUUUUAGAAUCAUAAUUGAUUACAGAUAAUUACCUUAGGGAUAACAGCGUAAUUUUUUUUAUGAGAUCUUAUUAUAGGAAAAGUUUGCGACCUCGAUGUUGGAUUAAAAUAUAAUCUUGGUGAAGAAGCUUGGAUAUUAAGUCUGUUCGACUUUUAAAAUUUUACAUGAUCUGAGU